GGUUUGAUUCUUGAAUGAGAAAACACUUACUUUAAUUCUCUGUCCCUCCUGUCUUGCUUUGCUAUUUAACUGCUUCAUCUUGUGUUUUGUACCUGAGAUCAAGAGGCAU